rnacentral:rRNA from 1 species
GUGUCAGCAGCCGCGGUAAUACGGAGGGCGCAAGCGUUGUUCGGAAUCACUGGGCGUAAAGCGCGUGUAGGCGGCUUGGCAAGUCGGGUGUGAAAUCCCGAGGCUCAACCUCGGAACUGCACUCGAAACUGCUUGGCUCGAGUCCCGGAGAGGGUGGCGGAAUUCCCGGUGUAGGGGUGAAAUCCGUAGAUAUCGGGAGGAACACCAGUGGCGAAGGCGGCCACCUGGACGGUGACUGACGCUGAGACGCGAAAGCGUGGGGAGCAAACAGGAUUAGAAACCCUUGUAGUCC